UUUCUUACUUCUCUAUGAACAGGCAAGGACCAAGGAACACGACAUGCGAUUUUUAUGUGGAAGAUGACGCCUCAAAGCCGCACUGUUCAUGUCUGACCCAAAUUGGUGCCAUAAUGGUAUCACCGUUCUCUAGCUCUGCGGCCCCUGCGAGCAAGAAUUAACCGAGCGGAAGGACUGUACAGCAACGGUUCAACAAAGAAAUAUACCAUUUGGAAUUCAGUUAUAAGGAUAAUAGUUGGGCCUGACAUGGCUGUAUUGCAGCUGUUAAGUUGCUAUGUGCCGUGCUAAUUACCCUUGCUGCA